CCAUAUAUGAUUAUAUAAAUAUAUUUCUUAAUAUACUCAUUUUUACCUUUCUAAACUAUUUGCCUUAGUGUGCCUAUACAAUUAUAAAUGCAUGCAACACAAAAAAAACCUCUCCGCCUUGUCUUAGGCAACAAAUAACCCGGGUACCCUUGUCCUUAUAGUGCACUCGUUGGGGCCCUGGGGUUCCUGAGUUAGAGUUAUAGUAGUAUCUGGAAGGAUAUCUUUUCAUUACAAUGUUGCAAUCCUGCUAUAAAUAGCAAAUCAGGUAGUCUCUACUGAAUAUUAAUGGGGUCUAUGGGCCGAUAUUCCCGUCUGUUGCUCUAACUGUGGACUGAAUAGGCUGUAGAUACUUCCCCUUAAUAAUUUCCGGCACUGUCUUUGAAGUAUCAGUUCUCCCUGGUACAGAAAGGAUAAUACGAGCCUCUGUUUACUGUUGUAGCAUUUUAUAUCCAAUAAAUGAUGACUUGCAGCUAUAUAGAAUUCAGUGUCUGCUAGACUGCGACUGCUACUUACAGUAUGUUUCCUUUCUAGCUGUCCAAAGGGAAGUUUUUAUAUGUAACAAAGUCUUCUGUCUAACUAGUAACCAAAUUGUUUCUCACGGACUGGUGACUGCAGCAGAUGUCCUCUUCUGUACUAAGCAGCCUCCAACAGAUGAUAUAAAUAACAUAUGCAGUAGUAUAUCUAUAUGGGAAGCUGUAACCUUUAAUAUGUCUUACAAUUGUCCAGUAUGUCACGUAUAGCAAAGGCUUCAGCAGUAUGGUAUCUCGGCCAAUAUGCUAUAUAACGGUUACUAUUAAUGUAUUCAAUCCUUUCACUAAAUAUCAGCAUCGUUUUAUAAUACUGUAUAAUUGAAUUCAGCAGCUGUAUAACUGAUUCUGCUAUAAGCAAUGCCUGUAGCUAAGGUUAUAUGUCCCACUCCUGUAACUACAUUGAUACGUGUCAUGCAGCUGGGGUUGUAUAGUGCAUAGUGGGAGUUUACUUAACCCCACUUCUCAGCUGCUGCGCUCCCUCUGCGACUAGGCCACUCCCCCAACUCUAUGCUGAAUGGCUGCUCCGGAGGGAUGGUCACUCACCCAGUCAUACCACACUGAAUUUGGGUCUAUGGGUCUGUGCUGUAGCCUAGCCCCUUCGAUUCCUCAGGGAGGCUGUCCCUACUUCUACCAGCCGCUGAAUUGGAGGAUCGACUUGCCUGACCGGCGCUCCAGCCCUCCACACCAUCACUCUCCUGGCCUCCUAUGCAAUCAGCGCUGGCAGAGAGAGGUAAGGUGCUGUCAGUCCUGGACUGUAGUCUCUCCUCACCCAUGCGUCAACCACCGUGAAAGCUCCCGGUGUCAGCGAUUCCCACACUUCACCGAACUGGUUUAGACGGGGGUCACCUCCUUUACUGGUGAGAGAUCCCCCUGUCCUCCAUCACUGCUCCUCAUUCUUUCACAGGCUACCGACUCUCCCCCAACUGCCGCACCAGCAGCCCCUUUUAUAACCUCCUCUCUAACUACUUGUGACUCCUGCUCCCCGGCUAUGGCAUGCAGGUACUGCUGCCGUGGGGACAGUCUAGCAGCUUCUUCCCCCUCCACUGUAUUAUAGCAUACAAAUUACAUUAUCAACAUUACACAUACACACAUACUGAUAUAGCUCCCUAAUAGUAACCAGGGAUUAUAUUCACGAGGCCAGAACCUCCGUGAUUUGUUGGUAAAAACUGAUGUGGCAAAAUUAAAGAGAGAACCUGCAGGCAAAAGGUUGUUCUUGCCUUCUUUAAUAAAAUUAGGUAAUAUCAAAUAUUCUUUUGUUACGUGCCAAUAUCUCCUUGAAGGUGACUUUUUUAAUCAUCCCCAUACGGGGCAAAAAAUCCCCAUUAAGCAUCAGCUGACAUGCAACUCAAAUUUUGUUAUUUAUCAAAUCAUUUGCCCAUGUGGCUUGAGCUACAUCAGCAAAACUGAGCAAAAGUUCAAAGAAAGGAUGUCAGCUCACAGAUCAGCCAUCCGAAAUGCCCUGGACACGGGAGAUAGUGAACAGCCCGUUGCCUGGCAUUUUGCCCAUUUUAAACAUCCAGUACAUAGCAUCAGAUAUAGAAUGAUAGACUGUGUUCUGGGAGAUAUGAGAGGAGGCAAUAGAGGUGCAAAAUUAUUACAAUUAGAAACAAAAUGUAUAUUGCGCCUGGGUGUAAUACACCCUAGAGGUCUCAAUGAAACAGUCUCAUAGCCAUGUUUUUUUUAAAUGAAACAGUUAGUGAUACUUGCCAACGGUAAUCGUAAAACAGCAUAUAUAAGUAUUGGCCAUGAUAUGGACAACAAUUGUAGCAGGCAUGCUUUGAUGCUGUGUAACAAUGUGCAAAAUGUGUAGAAGAUAACUAUGUAGCUGUUAACUAUCUGCUAUCAUAUUGUUUCAGCAAGCUUUAGUGUUUACUGCAUGUAACUUUGGUUGUUAUGGUGAUGGGUGGCUAUUGCACGGCGCCGUCGCUUGACGAUGACGUCACGUCUUAUGCAGCUCGGCGGGUGAGCGGCCCCGGACAAGCUGGCGGGAAUGCACAUAGGGUGAUACUAUAAAGCGCAUAAUUGUGUUUUGAAUGUUCCCUGCCCCUUUCAACUGCCCAGUCUACGACAGCACAAGUCCCAGCUGAAGAUGGGGCAAGAGCAGCGUUGGGUGUUGUAGAUGUUCAUGUGAUCAGGAAGCAGCUCCAGGAGUCCCUGGCCAAGGAGCUUGGCCAAAACACAAUUUGCUGGGCAGCCUCCAACACAGUGUAUCCAAUACAUUGAACCUUAUUUUGCAAUUUUAAUUUAUUUCCAUUUUUAUGGAACAUGUUUGAGACCCAAUUAUGUGGCACUUUUAUGUUUGUUUUUAUAACUAAAUGUGUAUAUUGUUUAAAUUUAGAAUGUGCUGUGUUUUUAUGAAUACUAUGUAAGUGUGUGUGUGUGUGUGUGUGUGUGUGUGUGUGUGUGUGUGUGUGUGUGUGUGUGUGUGUGUGUGUGUGUGUAUA